rnacentral:lncRNA from 10 species
GUUUCUCCAGGAGGAAUGUACUGUUUCACCAUGAUGGCUUUCACAGCUUUUUAUACGAUGAUGGCCUCUUCAAUGAUGUAAUCCUUCCAGACUCUUCAAGAUGUUCUAAUCAGGGUUCUCUUUUUUUUUUUUUUUUUUUUUGAGAUGGAGUCUUGCUCUGUCACCCAGGCUGGAGUGCAGUGGCGCGAUCUCACUACAACCUUCACCUCCUGGGUUCAAGCAAUUCUCCUGCCUCAGCCUCCAAAGUAGCUGGAAUUACAGGCAUGCGCCACCAUGCCCAGCCAGGGUUCUCUUUCAUAGCACUGACAAUUUCAUAGAGUACUGUGUGUAAUGAGCCUGGGGGCAAGUAGACGACUUUGACGCCCUUGGUGUUAACUCGUGGGGCUCUGAGUGCCUGCAGCAUUGAAGAACUUUAAAAAGGUGUACCUUACUGGCAAGGUACAUCCUGACUUCAAGGACAAGGCAUCAAUGGAAUUAAUCCAGAAAAAGCGUUCUUGUCCAGACGUUGUACAACCAAAAGAUCAGCAGCUGUGUUUAUCUUUUCCCGUUAAGUCUCAGGUGUUAGCAGUUUUAUAGGUAAGAGCUCGCCUGAUCAUAAACACAGCUGCACCUGCACAAAACAGGACAGUUAGCUUAGCCCUGCGUGCCUUCAAUCCUGGGGCUCACUUCCCUUCUUUACUUAAUAGAUGUCCUUUGUGGUUCCCUCCCAUGCCCCCAGAUUAGGGCAGUUUUGUCUGCAUUAAAAACCUGUUGACACAGGUAUCCCAUCUCCUCCAUGAUUUUCUUUAUGGCAUCUGGGAACUUGUCUGCUGCCUCUUGGUUGGCGGAAGCUGCUUCUCCUGUUAUCUUGACAUUUUUAAAAGCCAAACCUCUUCCUAAAAU